rnacentral:rRNA from 1 species
CCUACGGGAGGCAGCAGUGAGGAAUAUUGGUCAAUGGUCGUGAGCCUGAACCAGCCAAGUAGCGUGAAGGAUGACGGCCCUAUGGGUUGUAAACUUCUUUUAUAAAGGGAUAAAGUGAGGCACGUGUGCUGUUUUGUAUGUAUUUCAUGAAUAAGGAUCGGCUAACUCCGUGCCAGCAGCCGCGGUAAUACGGAAGGUCCGGGCGUUAUCCGGAUUUAUUGGGUUUAAAGGGAGCGUAGGCCGCAUGUCAAGCGUGCUGUGAAAUGCCCGGGCUCAACCCGGGCCUUGCAGCGCGAACUGGCGUGCUUGAGUCCGCGGAAAGCAGGCGGAAUUCGUGGUGUAGCGGUGAAAUGCUUAGAUAUGACGAAGAACCCCGAUUGCGAAGGCAGCUUGCGGCAGCGCAACUGACGCUGAUGCUCGAAGGCGCGGGUAUCGAACAGGAUUAGAUACCCCAGUAGUC